rnacentral:lncRNA from 1 species
AAUACACAACAUUGUUCGAGCCAAUUCUUUCAUUACAAGAGGAAUAGUUUUUCAGAGUAUGGUUAUCCAAAUGCACUUAAAAGUCCACUACAGAUUCGUGAAUGGAUCUAAGCAAGCUUUAAGUGGUAGAAAAAUAGUAUUCAAAAUACACUACUAAAGUUUCAAAGUUUAUUUAUUUUCAAAACAUGUCAUUUUUUAUAAACAAGUGAUUUACCUCUUUGACUUUUCACAGAAACUAUUCAUUUGAAAUAUUGAGAAAACAUUUACUUUUCU